AGGUAUAGCUCAGGGGUAGAGCGUGUGCUCAGCAUGCACAAGGUCCUGGGUUCAAUCCCUGGGACCUA
rnacentral:tRNA from 1 species